rnacentral:rRNA from 1 species
CAAUAGCGUAUAUUAAAGUUGUUGCGGUAAAAAAGCUCGUAGUUGGAUUUCUACCGAAGAUGGCCGGUCGGGUCUUCGACCUUGUAUCUGGUUUUGUCUUUGGUAUCCUCAUAGGGAACGUUUCUGCGCUUUAUUGCGUGGUGCGGUAUCUAUGACUUUUACUUUGAGGAAAUUAGAGUGUUCACGGCAGGCAAACGCCUUGAAUAUAUUGGCGUGGAAUAAUAACAUAGGAUCUUCGUCCUAUUUUGUUGGUUUCUAGGGCUAAGAUAAUGAUUAAUAGGGAUAAUUGGGGGCAUCUGUAUCAACGCGUCAGAGGUGGAAUUCUUGGAUUGCGUUGCGACAAACUACUGCGAAAGCAUUUGCCAAGGAUGUUUUCAUUGA